rnacentral:tRNA from 2 species
GCGGGAGUGGUGGAAUUGGUAGACACGCUGGAUUUAGGAUCCAGUGCCGCGAGGUGUGAGGGUUCGACUCCCUCCUCCCGCA